rnacentral:lncRNA from 1 species
GCUCGUUGCUGGCUGCUGCCAGGAGCCAUUCAGUAUUGGGGAAGAGAGGAUACUGGGAGGAAAACCAGGACAGGUUGUAUGGUUCGAGAUGGUGUUUCAGGAAGAGGCUAUUCACUCAAAAUAAGGAAAAAGAAAGAAAGGAUUAAGAAUCAACAGGCCAGUCCUGCAAGCAGAGGGAUUUGUAGACCCAGCCCGGUUCCACAGCUUGUGAGUCUGCAGAUGACUGCCAUCUGAGGGAUCCACAGGAUUGUCCUCACGUGAGUGCCCUAAAUCAGACGACCCAUUAAAACUAUCCACAUUGUGGGCAUAAGGGAUGUCCAGUGAGGUGUGGGGGUAUCCGGCCUUAGUUGAAAUACUUCUGAUACACUGUGUGUGUGUGUGUGUGUGUGUGUGUGUGUGUGUGUGUGUGUGCCACGAAGGCUUGCACAUGCUCUGCCAUCAGCUACAGCCCCCAGCCUGAGAUGGAAUAGUUCUGGGUGACCUUGAAUGAGUCACUUACCCUCCAAGCUUCAGAAUGGUAUUCGGUUAAUGAGAGCUUUUGUAUUUGUCUCAUGUCAUUCCUGGGGGACUAAACAGACUGGAACCACUUGCCACAGAGCCAGCAAGUAAACACACACAAAAGCCAGCCACUACUCAGAGGUGCUGCACACAGGCCCCUUGAAGAAGAUCUGAUAGCUUUUCUCUGCAGCCCUAGGGUAGGAAAUCCAUUCUGACAAGGUCUCUAGACCCUCUUCCUUCUCCGGAGGGAUGGGCAACAUUGCACAUGCUCCGUGGCUUGAAUGAAUGGGCGAAGCUUCCUUGGAAACUGCUUCCUUCUCUACCUCCAGCUUCUUGCUUAGUCUCCUAGAAACAGUAGCCUCCGUGUGUGUGUGUGUGUGUGUGUGUGUGCGUGCGCGCGCACGGGGGUCUGUGUGUAUGUCUAUGUGUAUAUGUAUGUGUGUCUGUGUUAUGUCUAUGUGUAUGUGCGUAUGUGUGUGUGUAUGUGUGUGUAUGUGUAUAUGUAUGUGUGUCUCUGUGUUUGUCUGUGUCUCUGUGUGUAUCUAUGUGUGUGUCUGUGUCUGUGUGUGAGUCUAUGUGUGUGUGUAUGUCUUUGUGUGUCUAUGUGUGUAUGUAUGUGUCUCUGCAUGUUUCUGCGUGUAUGUGUGUCUCUGUGUGUGUAUGUAUGUGUCUGUGUACAUGUUUAUGUGUGUAUGUAUGUGAGUCUAUGUGUGUGUGUGUGUCUAUGUGUGUAUGUAUGUGUCUGUGUACAUGUUUAUGUGUGUAUGUAUGUCUAUGUGUGUGUGUGUCUAUGUGUGUAUGCAUGUGUGUGUGCCUAUGUGUGUAUGUAUGUGUCUUUGUGUGUCUAUGUGUGUCUGUGUGUUGCCCUCUGACCCUCUCAUACAUGUUUCACAUGAAACCACACAGUCUGUUAGUUGAUGUAAUCACCCAUUUGUGGCCUAGCUCUGUGCUUUGCACAUGGUACCCUCUUCCCUUUCAGAGUUCCAUGGAGGCUAAGUGGAGUCUUAGUGAUGACAGGUGACAAGUUCACAGUGCUGUGUGCUGUCUGAUCCACACCACUGGGAGAAGAUAGGUCCCUGGGAGUGGACGGCAGCUGUGAGCACCCUGGGCAUGGAAUGUAAGUUUUGAGAACUUACGCUUACAGAGGUAAACAGGCCUCCUGUUUUUCCUAUAACUGUCUUAGGGUCUCAGUGGCCCUCAGUCUCUUUCCCUCUGCCUCUCACUUACUCAACCUUGAUGCUACAACCCAGGAAAACCUUUAAGAAGCCCAGGAUCAGAAAGAUGGCUCAGCAUGUAAAGGCACUCACUGCUAAGCCUGGAGAUGUCAGUUUGACCCUGGGAACCCACAAGGUGGAAAGACACUCAACUCCUGAAGGCUAUCCUAUGGGCUCUA